UAUGACCAAAGUCCUUGUGCGUUCUCACCAGAGGAAGCCCUGACUGGGAAUCAAGAAUGCGGUGGUUUCAACGGUGUUCGUUUGUGUUUGUGAAUAUCUGGUUUGCGGGAGCGUUUUGAGUUCGUCAUGAAUAAUCGGUGGUGAUUUGUUGGUACAUGACAUCAGCUCUUUCCUGGGAAGAGGAAGAAAAACUUUGAUAUACUCAAGAAUCCAAAGACGGCUCGGUACGCGGGGACAAAGUGCUGGAGAGCGACGAGUCCAAGUGCCGGGUCGCUGCAGGGACACGAACACAUGCUGAGAGGCUGAACAUGAAACAGAUGCAGGCGCUGGCCAACGCAUGCGAGUCGGUAACGUUUCAGAACAUUGUGCUGUAACCAGGGAGAGCGAAAGACACUGGAUGGAUGGGUGUUAUGACGGCUGUCCAGUUCUCAUUUGUUCUGGGCGCGCAAACGUUGAGGAGGACUAUGCUGCUUUAACGUUUCCACAGAGAAGUUUUCAUUCAAGUCAGAUGUGAGUUUCUGUGCAACACGACCACAGAGGUACAGUAGGAGGCAAGAAACAGGCAAGAAACAGGCACUCAUCUCACAGACAAGCUCCGAAACUGAAAUGUUUUCUGCCAAAAUAUGGAAAUUAUUCAGUAUUUUGUGUCGAGCCAGGCCCUUUAAAGAAACAAAAGAUCAUAAAACAAGAGGUCCGGAGUCUGUUGAGGUCCAUAGGCGAAGAGAAUUAUCUGGAAUUGUCUCAAAAUUCAACAAAAAUUAUGUAAUGGCAUAAUUAGCCUCUACAUGUGUAUUUACCUUUAUAUAAGCACACUUGACUUCUUCUGUAAGCAUUUUAAGGAAUGAGUACCAA